GACGAACGCUGGCGGCGUGCUUAACACAUGCAAGUCGAACGCUGAAGCUCAGCUUUUGUUGGGUGGAUGAGUGGCGAACGGGUGAGUAACACGUGAGUAACCUGCCUCCUUCUUUGGGAUAACGCCCGGAAACGGGUGCUAAUACUGGAUAUUCACUGGUCUUCGCAUGGGGGUUCGUGGAAAGGGUUUUUCUGGUGGGGGAUGGGCUCGCGGCCUAUCAGCUUGUUGGUGGGGUGAUGGCCUACCAAGGCUUUGACGGGUAGCCGGCCUGAGAGGGUGACCGGUCACAUUGGGACUGAGAUACGGCCCAGACUCCUACGGGAGGCAGCAGUGGGGAAUAUUGCACAAUGGGCGCAAGCCUGAUGCAGCGACGCCGCGUGAGGGAUGGAGGCCUUCGGGUUGUGAACCUCUUUCGCUCAUGGUCAAGCCGCAACAAUGGUUGUGGUGAGGGUAGUGGGUAAAGAAGCGCCGGCUAACUACGUG
rnacentral:rRNA from 1 species